UACAGAGGUGGCAAGCGUUGUUCGGAAUUACUGGGCGUAAAGGGCGCGUAGGCGGUCUUGUAAGUCUUGUGUGAAAUCCCUCGGCUUAACUGAGGAACUGCACGAGAUACUGCAAGACUUGAGAUCGGGAGAGGGAAGCGGAAUUCCGGGUGUAGCGGUGAAAUGCGUAGAUAUCCAGAGGAACACCGGUGGCGAAGGCGGCUUCCUGGACCGAUACUGACGCUGAGGCGCGAAAGCUAGGGGAGCAAACGGG
rnacentral:rRNA from 1 species